AUUGAACGCUGGCGGCAGGCCUAACACAUGCAAGUCGAGCGGCAGCGGGAAAGUAGCUUGCUACUUUUGCCGGCGAGCGGCGGACGGGUGAGUAAUGCCUGGGAAAUUGCCCAGUCGAGGGGGAUAACAGUUGGAAACGACUGCUAAUACCGCAUACGCCCUACGGGGGAAAGCAGGGGACCUUCGGGCCUUGCGCGAUUGGAUAUGCCCAGGUGGGAUUAGCUAGUUGGUGAGGUAAUGGCUCACCAAGGCGACGAUCCCUAGCUGGUCUGAGAGGAUGAUCAGCCACACUGGAACUGAGACACGGUCCAGACUCCUACGGGAGGCAGCAGUGGGGAAUAUUGCACAAUGGGGGAAACCCUGAUGCAGCCAUGCCGCGUGUGUGAAGAGGGCCUUCGGGUUGUAAAGCACUUUCAGCGAGGAGGAAAGGUUGAUGCCUAAUACGCAUCAACUGUGACGUUACUCGCAGAAGAAGCACCGGCUAACUCCGUGCCAGCCGCCGCCGUAAAAC
rnacentral:rRNA from 1 species